GGAUUAGAUACCCUGGUAGUCCAUGCCGUAAACGUUGGGCGCUAGGUGUGGGGUCCUAUCCACGGAUUCCGUGCCGCAGCUAACGCAUUAAGCGCCCCGCCUGGGGAGUACGGCCGCAAGGCGAAAACUCAAAGGAAUUGACGGGGGCCCGCACAAGCGGCGGAGCAUGCGGAUUAAUUCGAUGCAACGCGAAGAACCUUACCAAGGCUUGACAUACGCCGGAAACACUCAGAGAUGGGUGCCCCGCAAGGUCGGUGUACAGGUGGUGCAUGGUUGUCGUCAGCUCGUGUCGUGAGAUGUUGGGUUAAGUCCCGCAACGAGCGCAACCCCUCGUUCUAUGUUGCCAGCGGGUCAUGCCGGGGACUCAUAGGAGACUGCCGGGGUCAACUCG
rnacentral:rRNA from 1 species